GACGAACCGUCCAAACGUUAUUCGGUAUCACUGGGCUUAAAGGGUGCGUAGGCGGUCUGGUAAGUUGGGUGUGAAAUCCCUCGGCUCAACCGAGGAACUGCGCCAAAUACUGCUAGACUUGAGGGAGGCAGAGGUAAGCGGAACUUGCGGUGGAGCGGUGAAAUGCAUUGAUAUCGCAGGGAACACCAGUGGCGAAGGCGGCUUACUGGGCCUUUUCUGACGCUGAGGCACGAAAGCUAGGGGAGCGAACGGG
rnacentral:rRNA from 1 species